GAUGAACGCUAGCUACAGGCUUAACACAUGCAAGUCGAGGGGCAGCACAGUGUAGCAAUACACGGGUGGCGACCGGCGCACGGGUGCGUAACGCGUAUCCAACCUUCCCGUUACUCAGGGAUAGCCUUCCGAAAGGGAGAUUAAUACCUGAUGGUGUUCAAAUUCCGCAUGUUAUUUGAACUAAAGAUUUAUCGGUAACGGAUGGGGAUGCGUGACAUUAGAUAGUAGGCGGGGUAACGGCUCACCUAGUCUACGAUGUCUAGGGGUUCUGAGAGGAAGGUCCCCCACACUGGAACUGAGACACGGUCCAGACUCCUACGGGAGGCAGCAGUGAGGAAUAUUGGUCAAUGGUCGGAAGACUGAACCAGCCAAGUAGCGUGAAGGAUGAAGGUUCUAUGGAUUGUAAACUUCUUUAUACGGGAAUAAAACCUCCCACGUGUGGGAGCUUGUAUGUACCGUAUGAAUAAGCAUCGGCUAACUCCGUG
rnacentral:rRNA from 1 species